rnacentral:tRNA from 1 species
GUGGCCAUGGUGUAGUUGGUUAGCACGGCAGUCUGUGGAACUGCCAGCGAGGGUUCAAAUCCCUCUGGUCACC